rnacentral:lncRNA from 1 species
CCUUGACUCUUCAUUUGCAUCCAUAUGUAUAGAAGAAUUGGAGACUACAGGGAAGAAUCCGAGAGAAAGGAAGAAAAAGAGAAAGAAAAGAAGAAAAAAAAAAAAGAGGAAGAAGAAAGAAGAAAAAAUAGGAAAUUUUUGUCAAGUUAUUAGAAAUAAGUGGUCUACUCUAUUAGGCUUGAAUUUCUCAAUUUUGAAAGGUAAGUAAAAAGUUACUUAUUGUCAAGUUGUGUUUGAUUUUAUAGUUGUUAGAUUGUUAGAUUAAAUUCAAUUUUAUUGAAGGGGUUAAGUGUAAUAAACUAUGAAAUUGAGUAAAAUGAAAGAAAAAUUAGUUUUAGUUAUUAAAGAGACUGUAGAAAUCGCCCAAACGUGAAAUGAUUAAGUUUGGGUAUCGCCUAUUUAAUUAUUGAAAUUAUUUAAAAUAAUUAAUUGUUUAUUUAAAAAUUAUAUCGUAUUUCAGGUGACGAUACUGACAUCAGAACAGCUUACCAUCCGGGUUGAUUUUUCGAACAUAGUACUGUGAGUGGAAAAAUAUAAAUAUUUUUAAAGUAAUUAUAAAUUAAGUAUAUUGUUAAAAUAUGUGCAAUUAUAUGCAAUUAUGUAUUCGAAUCACAUGGUUAUUAUGAAAAUAUCUUUUAUUAUGAUACAUGUGGAAUUUCAAGGAUUAUUUAUUGUACGUUUGUGACUUGGUAUAUGAGACAUGUGAUAUUGAGAUUUGUUUGGUAAGUGGGACGUGAUAUUGAGAUCGACCAGAAAAGUACCUGUGAUUAUGUACUUCUUCUAGUUCACGGAGGGGCCUUGGCCGUGUUCUAUCAUACAUGGAGGGUCUUGACCUGACAUUGGUCUCGAUCGUAUACAUAUAGUUCACAGAGGGGCCUUAGCCGUGUUCUAGAAUUGAUUAUGAGAGGUCUUUGAGAUCGACUUUCGUUCACGAAGGGGGCCCAAAGGCCCGUGGCGAAAGUUCUUAGCCCGAGAGGCGGAUUAUAUAUUUCAGUCAGAGGGUACAUUUUAGGUGGAUUUUUCAGCACGUUUGAUGUGAUGAGAUUAUAACAUGAUUAUCAACUGACGUUAUAUCAUGAUUUUGAGAUGAUCUUUUACGACCUUAUGUGAAUAUUUCAUUUUUUGUUAUAAUUACAUGAUGUUAGUUUGUGAAUUAUUAAAUGAUAUGAACUUGAUUUUCGAUAGAAAUGUAAAAUUGAAAAAAUAUAAUUAUUUUCGAAUUUCUCCACUCAUUGAGCUAUUAGCUCAUAUAUUUUCCCACGAUUUUUCCUACAGGUAGCAAUUGAUUAUUUUUAGCUGGAAGAGCCUAAUGAUUUUGGAAUGAGAGCCACACGACAUGUUGAAUAUUAUAUAACUCAUAUUGAUGAAGCACGAAGUAAAUAUUUUGGGCCCAUCGCAUUAUAUUUUAUAUAAGCAUUUGAUUUUGUUGCAUUUUAUUUUAAAUAACUCAUAGUCAGGCUUGGUGAUAGAUUUGACAUCUAGUCAGCAUCUAUCAUCGACGCACGUCACGUUUCGAGUCCACUAGGGUGAUUCGGGAUGGGUCGUGUCAUUGUGCUUUUUGAGUUCUGUGUGAUAGGCAGUUUUUCCCCUCUUUUGAAACUAUUUUGCUGCUUGGAAGUGAUAAUUAAGAGCUCAAACAUGAAAUAUUACUUAUUUCUCGAGCAAAAUGAGUACUUGGAAGAAUUUUGAAAGGUAAACAUAAUUGUAGAAGCAGAAACUUUGAUUUUUGUUUUUUUUUCUCCAGAAACAUACCAUUUGGUCCAAUUCUAGGUUAGUCCUGAUGGUUCAAGUAAAAAAGUCAACCCCUAGUUUUUAAAAUGGGAAAAUACAAGAAAGAAUGAAGAAACGAAAUCGAAAAAGAAGGAAUAGGGUAUAACAUUAUUGGUAAACAUCAAAUUUGAAUUCAAUUUCGCUAAACGCAAAUACACAAACGCUAAACAACAUUCAUACCCCCAUGUAAAUCAAACAUCAUACGUACCAAAAGUUUGCUGUAGAUUCCGACAGAAAAGACGUUGGUCGCGGACUUGAACGGAAGAAUAUCGGGCAAACGGCCGAUGAUUGGAAAACAAGCAAACUAGACCAAGCUUCUUCUGUCGGGAUUGUUGAGUUCUUCAAUAGAGUUGGAGAAGAUGGAUGAAGUCAGGGGCAGGGAGGGAGACAAUGGAUCGAGGUGUGUAGGGUUUCAAUGAUUUGGGGGAAAAUGGAUAAAAAUGUAUUUGAAAUGGGUAUACAUAUUGGGCCGGUUUCCAUUGAUUGGGUUAUUUUAUUUCCACAUCGUUCUGUCAGCCAACUCUGUACCGAUAGCCGGAUCCUAAUUUUUUUAAUUUCUCUUGUACUUUGUGGUGGUGUUGGGACGGCGUGGGUUUGGGGAGGGAUAGGGUUGGGAUUUCAUAAUUCUGACAAUUG